rnacentral:rRNA from 1 species
UACGUAGGGCAAGCGUUGUCCGGAAUUAUUGGCGUAAAGAGCUCGUAGGCGGCUUGUCGCGUCGUCGUGAACCUGCGGCUCAACUGCAGGCUGGCGGUCGAUACGGCAGGCUGGAGUUCGGUAGGGAGACUGGAAUUCAACGUGUAGCGGUGAAAUGCGUAGAGAUGUGGAGAACACCAGUGGCGAAGGCAGGUCUCUGGGCAUUAACUGACGCUGAGGAGCGAAAGCAUGGGGAGCGAAACAGG